rnacentral:rRNA from 1 species
UACGUGGGGUGCGAGCGUUGUUCGGAAUUACUGGGCGUAAAGCGCGUGUAGGCGGCCUAUUAUGUCAGGUGUGAAAGCCCUCGGCCUAACCGAGGAAGUGCGCCUGAAACUGCUAGGCUUGAGUACGAGAGAGGAGGACGGAAUUCCCAGUGUAGAGGUGAAAUUCGUAGAUAUUGGGAGGAACACCGGCGGCGAAAGCGGUUCUCUGGAUCGAUACUGAGGCUAAGAAGCGAAAGCGUGGGGAUCAAACAGG